rnacentral:rRNA from 1 species
CAAUAGCGUAUAUUAAAGUUGUUGCAGUUAAAAAGCUCGUAGUUGGAUUUCUGGUGGGAGCGAUCGGUCUGGCGCUUAGCGCGAGUACUUGCAUCGUCUCCGGCCAUCCUUGGGGAGGGUCUGUCUGGCAUUAGGUUGUCGGGCAGAGGAUCUUCAUCGUUUACUGUGAAAAAAUUAGAGUGUUCAAAGCAGGCUUAUGCCGUUGAAUAUAUUAGCAUGGAAUAAUAAGAUAGGACUUUGGUACUAUUUUGUUGGUUUGCGCACCAAAGUAAUGAUUAAUAGGGACAGUUGGGGGUAUUCGUAUUCCGUUGUCAGAGGUGAAAUUCUUGGAUUUACGGAAGACGAACUACUGCGAAAGCAUUUACCAAGGAUGUUUUCAUUAA